GGCGUCACUACAGACUCCCUGGUUCAAAUCCAGGCUGCGUUUCUAUCAAAAAACCACAAACAUUAUUUGCCAAUAUCAUAACUGGAGCUGGACAUCUUUGGAGCAGAAGAAUGAGGACAGCUUUUGUAUGCUAACGUACACUCCUUAACAGUCUUACUGGAUGAAAAGACAGCAAGAAAACACAUAUGCCAAUAUACAGGCAGACUUUGCAGUGCCUCCUUGUGCGACUACCUUGAGCAGCAGUUUGAGGGACUUUGCAGGGAAAAUGCCGUGCAGUAAGGCGUAGGGGAUUGUUUACAGCAGGACGACCCCCAGUGGAUGGGCGCCGAGGGGUGUGGUGCUCCUCCAGCAGCUCUCUCAUUAGGUUCUCUCUGUAUUUUUGGUAGGUAAUUACUUUACCUAAGAGGGAGUGGGGAGGAUGAAGAAAGUUAGAGGAUGAUGAGGCAGUGGGUAGGUGGGUGAGAUAUUGUCACUAUAAUUGCAUAAUGGAUUUGUAUGUGAACUGUACAUCCAAUUACAAAAAUAGCUUGUUCAGUAAUCAUCUCACCUGUUAGUUGGCGGUGAACUAUGCUGCCAUUGAGGGCAGCAGUGUCGAUCAGAUGGAAAAAUAUCUUCUUAUACCACUUGGUUGUUUUCCGAGUGCAUUCCACAAAGCUGUUUAUCAUGUCUGCCUUAUCCACUGCCCCAUUUUGAGGUUAUAUUCGAGCACACAAUCUGGUUUGAUCUUUCUCUCUCCAGUCAGGUGAUCCACCUUCCCUGUGGCCGACAUGGUUGCUGUAUGGACAGUGGAGAGGACAUGGACAUCUCUUUUGUCAUGCCACUUUACUGCCAGCUGUUGACCAUUCUCCUGGAACUCCACCUCCCCUCUCUGCAUCUUCCUGCAUCCGAAUCCUGGCAUCCCCUUCCUGUUCGACCUGACUGUGCCACAGGCCCCUGUGCUGUUGGAGAGCAGAUGCUGGAAGAGUGUGGGACUGCUGUACCAAUUGUCCACGUACAAAGUGUGUCCCUUGCCGAGAUGAGGAGCCAGCAUGGUCAUCACUACGGACCCGGACACCCCAAGCCCCUCAUAAUGUUUGAUGUCAGUGGUGGACCCUGUGUAAACUAUAAUAUCCUGGACAAAUCCUGUCUUCACGUCGCACAUGACAAAGAACUUGACUCCAAACCUGUGCCUUUUGGAGGGAAUAUAUUGACGGAACCCCAGCCUACCUUUCCAUAACAUCAGGGACUCAUCAAUGCAUAGGUCCUUGUAUGGCACAAAGACCCGACCAAAUGCUGAUGUCAGGCUGGUUAGAACAUUUCUUAUUUUGUAUAACGGGUCACUUAAGAUGGCAGUAGCAUUGUUGACGAAAUGCAGGCAUCGCAGCAGAACUAGGAAGCGGUCUUGGGAAAAGAG